ACCACAAGAGCGUGGAGUAUGUGGCUUAAUUUGACUCAACGCGGAAAAGCUUAUCUGGUCCGGACGCAGUGAGGAUUGACAGACAGUUUCAGGAGUGGUUCUUGGUAAACAAUUGAGAGAGUUGAAGUUCUUUCAUGAUCUUGUGAGAGGUGGUGCAUGGCCGUUCUUAGUUCGUGUAGUGAUAUGUCUGCCUAAUCGCGUCACGAUAACCUAUUGGUCGACAACCCAAUUAUCACAACUGCAGCAUAA
rnacentral:rRNA from 1 species